CUUUCCUCCCAAUCGAAUAUCUAUCAGUCAAUCUGUAGGGUUCGCUUCGCUUUAUCUGAAAUCAAACGCACAAGCUUCUUGUAAGCUUUCCAAUUAAUCAUGUCGUUGAGACCCAGCGCCAGAACUGAGGUUCGCCGGAACCGCUACAAGGUAGCUGUUGACGCCGAUGAAGGUCGGCGGAGGAGAGAGGACAACAUGGUGGAGAUCCGAAAGAGCAAGCGCGAAGAGAGUUUGCAGAAGAAGCGCCGCGAAGGUCUACAGGCUCAGCAGUUACAUCC
rnacentral:misc_RNA from 1 species